rnacentral:tRNA from 1 species
AAUAUGUUAGUUUAGUUAAAUAUUGUGUUAUGAACACGUUGAUAUAAGUUCAAAUCUUAUACAUAUUA